rnacentral:rRNA from 1 species
CCCUUGGAGAAAAGCAGGGGAUCGCAAGACCUUGCGCUCAUUGAGCGGCCGAUGCCUGAUUAGCUAGUUGGUGAGGUAAAGGCUUACCAAGGCGACGAUCAGUAGCUGGUCUGAGAGGACGACCAGCCACACUGGGACUGAGACACGGCCCAGACUCCUACGGGAGGCAGCAGUGGGGAAUUUUGGACAAUGGGGGAAACCCUGAUCCAGCCAUGCCGCGUGAGUGAAGAAGGCCUUCGGGUUGUAAAGCUCUUUCAGCCGGAACGAAACGGUCACGGCUAAUACCUGUGACUACUGACGGUACCGGAAGAAGAAGCACCGGCGAACUACGUGCCAGCAGCCGCGGUAAUACGUAGGGUGCGAGCGUUAAUC